GAUGCCUACGGGACGCAGCAGUGGGGAAUAUUGGACAAUGGGGGGAACCCUGAUCCAGCGACGCCGCGUGAGUGAAGAAGUAUUUCGGUAUGUAAAGCUCUCUCAGCAGGGAAGAAAAUGACGGUACCUGACUAAGAAGCCCCGGCUAACUACGUGCCAGCAGCCGCGGUAAUACGUAGGGGGCAAGCGUUAUCCGGAUUUACUGGGUGUAAAGGGAGCGUAGACGGCUAAUCAAGUCAGAAGUGAAAACCCAGGGCUCAACCUUGGGACUGCUUUUGAAACUGAGUAGCUAGAGUGCAGGAGAG
rnacentral:rRNA from 1 species